AGACGAAGGCCGGAGCGGUCCCUCGGACCCUCCAGCGGAGACUAGAGACGAAGGCCGGAGCGGUCCCUCGGACCCUCCAGCAGAAGCCAUCACUAAGCCAGCAGCCAUGGAGGCCACUAGCACACAUGAAAGCAACUGGCACUGCCCAGAGCACUGGCCCUGCCCAGGCAACGCUGACAUGAGGUGGUACUCAGGGGGCUGCUUAAACUGCAGGGGUCCAGAAUUAGCUGGGGCCUGACACCUAGCCUCUGGGGGAGCCCUGGAGUGGCAAACUGUACCAACGGCGGCUAACCCCUGAAAAGUACACUGAGAAGACGUAAGACUUCCUCCCUGCGUGGAGUGAACGGGUGAACCAGGUGGCCCUGGGGCCUGAACUACAAGUAACGGUGACACUGGAGGCACUGGAGACUGAACUACAGGUGACACUGGAGGCACUGGAGACUGAACUACAGGUGACACUGGAGGCACUGGAGACUGAACUACAGGUGACACUGGAGGCACUGGAGACUGAACUACAGGUGACACUGGGGGGAACUGAGCCGAAAGGGGCACUGGAGACUGCACUGAGGGUGAAGCUGGGGGCACUGGAAACUGCACUGAGGGUGAAGCUGGGAGCUCUGGAGACUGAGCAGA
ensembl:lncRNA